UCAUCUAAUAGUCACCAAUUCCAAUUCCCAACAUUCGUGGUGUUAUUCGACUUAAAAUUUGAGUUGGAUUAAUUCGUCUAUUACUUUAUAUCGGUGCAAUUGGCUAAAAUUAGCCUAGCAAGCAAAGAACCUCAGCCCCAAAUUUCAAUUCCUCUUGUUCUCUAGUCGACACUUCUCGCCCAAUCCCAAAUCAACUAUUUGAUUCCAGAAACACUCAUACCGUUCUUGAAACAAAUUUACUCAAAUAGAAAGUAGAUAAGAGAAAGUAGAUAGCAGUUUCAUUUAUGAUCAACAGAUUACUUUUCUUAUGUCAUGUUGUGAAUUUCAGGCGCUUUGUAAUGGUUUGCUUGUGGACCCUCAUGAUCAGCAAUCAAUUGCUAAUGCACUGCUGAAGUUGUUAUCAGAAAAGAAUUUAUGGGUUGAGUGCAGAAAGAAUGGUUGGAAAAACAUACACCUUUUCUCAUGGCCUGAACACUGCCGAACCUACUUGACUAGAGUAGCAGCCUGCCGCAUGAGACAUCCACAGUGGCAGACUGACACCCCAGAGGAUGAAAUGGCUGCUGAAGAGUCCCUCAAUGAUUCUAUUAAGGACGUGCAAGAUAUGUCUCUUAGGCUCUCAGUUGAUGGGGGCAAAUCCUCACUGAAUGAAUCUCUUGAUGUGACUGCAGCUUCUGGUGACCAUGAGGUGCAAGAUCAAGUGAAGCGUGUCCUAAGCAAGAUCAAGAAACCAGAUUCUGGUCCAGAAGACCAUGAAGAUGGAAAUAAGCUGCCGGAUAAUGUAGCAAGCAAAUAUCCCUUGUUAAGACGUAGAAGAAAAUUGAUUGUCAUAGCGCUUGAUUGCUAUGACAAAUCUGGAGCUCCUGAAAAGAAAAUGAUUCAAGUUGUGCAAGAAAUAUUUAAGGCUGUAAGACUAGAUUCUCAAAGUGCAAGAUUUACAGGGUUUUACGGCUAUUCCAGCAUCAGAAGCAGUGGAGUUUCUGGCAUCAGGGAGGAUACAGGCAAAUGAGUUUGAUGCGUUGGUUUGUAGCAGUGGAAGUGAGGUUUACUACCUGGUACUUAUACUGAAGAAGAUGGAAGACUUUUCCCAGAUCCAGAUUAUUCGUCACACAUUGACUACCGAUGGGGUUGCGAAGGAUUAAAGAAAACCAUUUGGAAGCUCUUAAAUGGCCCUGAUGGUGAACGGAAUUCCACAUCUUCGAGCCACAUUGAAGAAGAUAUAAAAUAAAGCAGUGCCCAUUGCAUCUCAUACUUAAUCAAGGAUCCUAGUAAGGCAAGGAAAGUUGAUGAUUUAAGACAAACUCAGGAUGCGUGGACUACGCUGCCAUCCAAUGUACUGCAGGAGCUCAACACGAAUGCAAAUUGUUCCUCUCCUUGCUUCUCGAGCACAGGCUCUCAGGUACCUUUUUGUACCCUGGAGAUUGAAUGUUGCAAACAUGUAUGUGUUCCUUGGAGAAAGUGGAGACACCGAUUAUGAAGAAAUGAUAGCAGGGACUCGCAAGACCAUAAUCAUGAAGGGUGGUGGGAAAGGGUUCUGAAGAGCUGCUAAGAACAUCAGGAAGCUACCUGAGAGACGACAUUGUUCUGCCUCAGAGCCCACUGCUCGCCAUUGUAUAUGGGCAAGCUCCAACAGCUGAUGAGAUUGCCACUGCUCUGAAGCAAGUCACCAAAUCUGCCACUGGAAUGUGAUUAUGUGAUGUGACUUGAAUGUGGAUUUAUGUACCUUUUGAGACGAAACGAGGCCUCCAUCAAGAAUAAAGGCGGACAAUGAAACACAUCUAAACAAGGCCUAUUACUAAGAACUCAGCUAACCAACUGGUGCGGCGCCACUGCGUUCCUUUC